rnacentral:rRNA from 1 species
UACGGAAGGCAGCAGUGGGGAAUAUUGCACAAUGGGCGAAAGCCUGAUGCAGCUAUGCCGCGUGUAUGAAGAAGGCCUUAGGGUUGUAAAGUACUUUCAUCGGGGAGGAAAAAACAAAACUAAUAAUUUUAUUUCUUGACGUUACCCGAAAAAGAAGCACCGGCUAACUCCGUGCCAGCAGCCGCGGUAAUACGGAGGGUGCUAGCGUUAAUCAGAAUUACUGGGCGUAAAGAGCACGUAGGUGGUUUUUUAAGUCAGAUGUGAAAUCCCUGGGCUUAACCUAGGAACUGCAUUUUGAAACUGAAAUACUAGAGUAUCGUAGAGGGAGGUAGAAUUCUAGGUGUAGCGGUGAAAUGCGUAGAUAUCUGGAGGAAUACCUGUGGCGAAAGCGGCCUCCUAAACGAAUACUGACACUGAGGUGCGAAAGCGUGGGGAGGCAAACAGGGAUUAGAUACC